rnacentral:rRNA from 1 species
GUAAAACGUCCGUCGGCGGUGUAUCAAGUCUUUUGUUUAAGCCUGGGGCUCAACUCCAGAUCGGCAAAGGAAACUGAUACACUUGAGUCUAUUCGGGGAAGCUGGAAUUCUCGGUGGAGGGGUGAAAUCCGUAGAUAUCGAGAGGAACGCCAAUCGCGAAAGCAGGCUUCUAGAGUAGUACUGACGCUCAGGGACGAAGGCUAGGGUAGCAAAAGGGAUUAGAGACCCCUGUAGUCCUAGCCGUAAACGUUGGAUGCUAGUUGCUCCGAUUUCGAUCGGAGUGGCGUAAGCUAACGCGUUAAGCAUCCUGCCUGGGGAGUACGGCCGCAAGGCUAAAACUCAAAGGAAUUGACGGGGGAGCGCACAACCGGUGGAGCAUGUGGUUUAAUUCGAUACAAAGCGAAAAACCUUACCUGGGUUUGACAUCUCGCUUAUGUCUCUCUGGAAACAGAGGGUCUUAAAGGCGAUGACAGGUGAUGCAUGGCUGUCGUCAGCUCGUGUCGUGAGACGUCCGCUUAAGUGCGGUAGCGAGCGCAACCCCUAUCGUUAGUUACAAGUGUCUAACGAAACUGCCCCCGACUGUUCGGGGGAGGAAGGAGGGGACGACGUCAAGUCAGCAUGUCCCUUACAUCCAGGGCUACACACAUCCUACAAUGGAACUGACAAUGAGCCAGCAAAAGGGCAACCUCGAGCAAAUCUCGCAAACAGUUCCUCAGUUCGGAUUGCGGGCUGCAAUUCGCCCGCAUGAAGUCGGAAUCGGUAGUA